CAGAGCUUAACUCUGGAACUGCCAUCAAAACUUUUCAGCUAGAGUAUGAUAGAGGAAAGCAGAAUUUCUAGUGUAGAGGUGAAAUUCGUAGAUAUUAGAAAGAAUACCAAUUGCGAAGGCAGCUUUCUGGAUCAUUACUGACACUGAGGAACGAAAGCAUGGGUAGCGAAGAGGAUUAGAUACCCUCGUAGUCCAUGCCGUAAACGAUGUGUGUUAGACGUUGGAAAUUUAUUUUCAGUGUCGCAGCGAAAGCGAUAAACACACCGCCUGGGGAGUACGACCGCAAGGUUAAAACUCAAAUGAAUUGACGGGGACCCGCACAAGUAGUGGAGCAUGUGGUUUAAUUCGAAGAUACGCGCAGAACCUUACCAACACUUGACAUGUUCGUCGCGACUUUAAGAGAUUAAAGUUUUCGGUUCGGCCGGACGAAACACAGGUGCUGCAUGGCUGUCGUCAGCUCGUGUCGUGAGAUGUUGGGUUAAGUCCCGCAACGAGCGCAACCCUCACUUUUAGUUGCCAUCAUUUAGUUGGGCACUCUGAAAGAACUGCCAGUGAUAAGCUGGAGGAAGGUGGGGAUGACGUCAAGUCCUCAUGGCCCUUACGUGUUGGGCUACACACGUGCUACAAUGGUAUCUACAACAGGAAGCGAAACAGCGAUGUUAAGCAAAUCCUUAAAAGAUACCUCAGUUCGGAUUGCACUCUGCAACUCGAGUGCAUGAAGCUGGAAUUACUAGUAAUCGUGGAUCAGCGUGCCACGGUGAAUGCGUUCCCGGGUCUUGUACACACCGCCCGUCACACCAUGGGAGUUGGUUCUACCUUAAGGCAAGGCAUAAAACCCUUGACCACGGUAUAGUCAGCGACUGGGGUGAAGUCGUAACAAGGUAGCCG
rnacentral:rRNA from 1 species